rnacentral:misc_RNA from 1 species
GAUGAAGAACGCAGCGAAAUGCGAUAAGUAAUGUGAAUUGCAGAAUUUAGUGAAUCAUCGAAUCUUUGAACGCACAUUGCGCCCCCUGGUAUUCCGGGGGGCAUGCCUGUCCGAGCGUCAUUACAACCCUCAAGCUCAGCUUGGUGUUGGGCCCCGCCGCCCCGGCGGGCCCUAAAGUCAGUGGCGGUGCCGUCCGGCUCCGAGCGUAGUAAUUCUUCUCGCUCUGGAGACCCGGUUGUGUGCUUGCCAACAACCCCCAAUUUUUUAAGGUUGACCUCGGAUCAGGUAGGGAUACCCGCUGAACUUAAGCAUAUCAAUAAGCGGAGGA